rnacentral:rRNA from 1 species
UGGGGAAUUUUGGACAAUGGGCGAAAGCCUGAUCCAGCAAUGCCGCGUGUGUGAAGAAGGCCUUCGGGUUGUAAAGCACUUUUGUCCGGAAAGAAAUCCUUGGCUCUAAUACAGUCGGGGGAUGACGGUACCGGAAGAAUAAGCACCGGCUAACUACGUGCCAGCAGCCGCGGUAAUACGUAGGGUGCAAGCGUUAAUCGGAAUUACUGGGCGUAAAGCGUGCGCAGGCGGUUUGCUAAGACCGAUGUGAAAUCCCCGGGCUCAACCUGGGAACUGCAUUGGUGACUGGCAGGCUAGAGUAUGGCAGAGGGGGGUAGAAUUCCACGUGUAGCAGUGAAAUGCGUAGAGAUGUGGAGGAAUACCGAUGGCGAAGGCAGCCCCCUGGGCCAAUACUGACGCUCAUGCACGAAAGCGUGGGGAGCAAACAGGAUUAGAUACCCUGGUAGUCCACGCCCUAAAACGAUGUCAACUAGUUGUUGGGGAUUCAUUUCCUUAGUAACGUAGCUAACGCGUGAAGUUGACCGCCUGGGGAGUACGGUCGCAAGAUUAAAACUUCAAAU